GUAUACCAAUUUAAAGUUUAUUAGUGAUCUAUUUAUUAAUAAUCUCUACACCCAACGUGGGGCUUGAACUUACAACCCCAAGGUCAAGAGUCACAUGUUCUUCAGACUGAGCCAGCCAGGCGCCCCUCAGUCUACCAAUUUAAAUGUUCAUCUCAUCCAAAAAACACCUUCACAGAAACACUUGGAAUAAGGUUUGGCCAAAUAGCUGGGUAUCCCAUGGCCCAGGCAACUUGAUACCUAAACUGAGCUGUUACAGCCACGUCUGUAUUAUCACAUGCUAGUCCUGGGGUGCGCAACACUUAGGUUUACAGAAUGUUUUUGCUGAUACUCUCUUUUUAUUCUUACAAAUCCUUGUCGGGGAGCGGGUACUGGGGCAGGUGCUGAAGGCACUGUCCCUAUUUUACAGAUGAGGAGGCUGGGAAGCUAUCCAGGCCAAAAGCUGUGGAGCCAGGGCUGGAUGCAGCACCUUCUAAGAACCUUUAGGCAGAGAUGAAAGGUUAACUGGCCCAAGCUUUCAGACAUGCACUCAAAAGCGUGGGUGUGGGGGCACCUGGCUCACGUUGCCCUCUCUAUCGUCCCAUAACUUGGAAAGGUAGGAUGAUCCCCAUUCUCCAACGAGGAGAUGGAGACUCCAGUGGGAAAGGAGCCUGCCUAUGAUCACACAGCAAUCAGGACUUGAACUUAGGUUGCUGUCCUCCAGAUCCAUGCUCCAGAGCAGUGCUUCCCAACUAGGGGCAAUUGUCUUCCAGGGGACCUUUGGCAAUGUCGGGAGGCAUUUUUUGGUUGUCACAACAAGGGACAGGGGUGCUACUGGCAUCCAGGGGGGAGAAGCCAGGGAUGUUGCUGAACAUCCUACACCACACAGGCCAAGCCGUCACACCAGAAAGUUAUCUGGCCCAGGGUGUCACUACUGAGGUCCAGAAACCUUGCUCCAGUGGUUCUCAGCCUGGGCUAUGCCUCAGACUCAUUUGGGGGCUUUAAGAAUCCUGAUACCCAGGCUGCCCCUGACCAUUUACACCAGAGUCUCUGGGGUUGGUCCCCAGUGUUGUUUUUGAGUUUACCAGAUGGUUCCAAUGUGCAGCCAGGACUGCUCUAAACUACUUAUACUGGGGGCUUCUGCUCCCUUUGUGGGGCUCUGUGGGAGGAGGACCAAACCUAUCUGGGUUGUACAGUAAACAGCAAUGCUCUGCUUGACCAGGACUCUGAUUCAUCAGUUCCUUUCUUGGAGAUGCACUACUAAUGAGUGGCUGGUGAGGGUUCUGGAGGGCCAGUGAGGUAAAUGCUGCUGGCUAAUCUUUCCCUCACCUCUCUGGGGGCCACCACCAAGAAUCUCCCCCAGGUGGCUGUAAAAGCUUCCAGAAGACUGUGGCUCAAAGAGCGAGGCUGCCACCUAGUGGAGGAAUGGGACAGGAUGGCCCCGGUGAUUUUAUUUGAUUCUCACAAAGAGCCCUGGGGAGGGAGGUGCCAACAAGGGCUCCAAGGCCCAGAAGGAUGGAGCCAUGUGCUCAAGGUCCCCACUGGGACAGGGUUUGAGCCUGGAUUUGCACCCAUCUAGUCCACAAGAGGAACCCGGGCCUCCCUCUACAUUCUCACACGGGUUCCAGAGGAACAGGACCCCUGGACUUGGCUGCCUGAUUCCCUUCUUGUCUUCCAGGCAGGGCCCAGGAGCGGAGACCCUCUCUGCCAGCACAUCUUAGAGAUUUUUUUUUCAUCUUAGAGAUUAUUAACAAGC
rnacentral:lncRNA from 1 species